GGGUGGCAGCCGGCAAUGAGGCGGCCGCGCUACGUGACGAGCUACGGGUCCCCCUUUGUGAUGUUUUGGCAUCGCUCCUUCAUCGCACAUCCUCAGGCGAUGGCGGUGGUGUCGCUGAUGGCGGCGAGGACAGCAUGUGGCAGCUCCCGAAGCAUGAACACGACCGCACCUCGGGCCUGCCGUCUGCCAAGAUAUGGCUCUGGCCGAUUGACAAUGGAGGUUUGGGAUCCUUCCUCUCAGCACCCACUCCUGGAAGAAUCAGCGGUGCGCCACGCCGAUUGAACCCCGUCGAGAUCACUCGCCAAGAUUGCUAUUCUGAAGUUUAUUGUAAAGAAAGUGAAG